AGCUGGCAGAGCAAACGCAGCCCAGCUCUUCAGAGCUGCCGUGGAGUUCCUCAGAAAGAGCCACCUCCCUCCUCGACUCCAGCUGUCAGCGUGCUGCAGCCCUGGGCCAAGAGACUCCCUCUAAGAACAAGAACAGGGGCUGUUUUCCACAUCUCCUUCCAGAGGGGCUCUGCAGCGCCGAUCCUCUACGACACGGAUGCUCGUCCCCUGAGACGUGAACCCAGAUCACCAAAUUCAUUUUGCAGAGACCACCAAACGGCCAUCUGAGAUCAAUUAGCUUGUCAUUACUCAUCCCCAUCAGGUCUGAACUGCUGACCUACAAGUGAAAGUCCGUGUAUUUGUCUCCCAGCACUGUGCAGACUCAUCCAGCUAUCUAAUGAGAAGAGCUUCCUCCGUAAACAAAGCCAAGGAGGUCGUGCUCUGGCCGUCCAUCGCCUGCUCCAAUUAGCUUGAACCCAAGGGCCAAGUCGAGCUCAGUGUGAUGGAGAGUCUCAAGCUUAACUGGACAUCUACAAAGGCUGCAGCUGCUAACAGAGACCACAAAGGUGACUGAGGGGUGAAGAGCAACGUCCUCCACUCGCGUGCCUUGCUUCUGUUGCUGCUGCUGUAGUGUUGGCUGUGGAUGUCUUGGCUGAUCUCCUUCCUCUUGGUGACUCACCCGGAGACUGAUGAACAGCCUGAGUUCUUCUGAAUCAACAAACCAGGGAUCUGCAGACUGAGCUAAGCCUACUAAAUCUGAGCAGCCUGAACCACGGUGAAAUGCUUUGUGGAGAUAUCACCAAGAUGCCUUUGGGAAG